UACUAGAAACAAAAAUAGGAUCAAGCUAAAAAUUCAUAAAUAAACCCUUUAUAAGAAAGGAAAUCAAUCAGAAAAAUGAAUAGCCUUAUAGAUCAUAAAGAGAAUGAGAAUAUCUCCUACUAAAUGAAAAUGGUAAAACUGAUCGAUCAUGUUUAGGGAAAUAUAUUUCAACUUCCUUUUAAAUAACUGCACAACUAAUUUUUAAAAUACAGCUCUGACUAAACCAAA
rnacentral:lncRNA from 1 species